GUGGGGAAUAUUGGACAAUGGGCGCAAGCCUGAUCCAGCCAUGCCGCGUGAGUGAUGAAGGCCCUAGGGUUGUAAAGCUCUUUCAGUGGGGACGAUAAUGACGGUACCCACAGAAGAAGCCCCGGCUAACUUCGUGCCAGCAGCCGCGGUAAUACGAAGGGGGCUAGCGUUGUUCGGAUUUACUGGGCGUAAAGCGCACGUAGGCGGAUCGUUAAGUCGGGGGUGAAAUCCUGGAGCUCAACUCCAGAACUGCCUUCGAUACUGGCGAUCUUGAGUCCGGAAGAGGUGAGUGGAACUCCUAGUGUAGAGGUGGAAUUCGUAGAUAUUAGGAAGAACACCAGUGGCGAAGGCGGCUCACUGGUCCGGUACUGACGCUGAGGUGCGAAAGCGUGGGGAGCAAACAGGAUUAGAAACCCCGGUAGUCC
rnacentral:rRNA from 1 species